ACAGAGGUCUCAAGCGUUGUUCGGAAUUACUGGGCGUAAAGCGUGUGUAGGCGGCGAGGUAAGUCAGAUGUGAAAGCCCGGGGCUCAACCUCGGAACUGCAUCCGAUACUGCCUUGCUAGAGUAGUGGAGGGGAGACUGGAAUUCACGGUGUAGCAGUGAAAUGCGUAGAUAUCGUGAGGAACACUAGUGGCGAAGGCGAGUCUCUGGACACUUACUGACGCUGAGACACGAAGGCUAGGGUAGCGAAAGGG
rnacentral:rRNA from 1 species